rnacentral:rRNA from 1 species
UACAGAGGUCUCAAGCGUUGUUCGGAUUCAUUGGGCGUAAAGGGUGCGUAGGCGGUCGCGUAAGUCAGGUGUGAAAUCUCGGGGCUCAACCCCGAAACUGCACUUGAUACUGCGUGGCUCGGGUACUGGAGAGGAGACUGGAAUUUACGGUGUAGCAGUGAAAUGCGUAGAUAUCGUAAGGAAGACCAGUGGCGAAGGCGAGUCUCUGGACAGUUACCGACGCUGAGGCACGAAGGUCAGGGGAGCAAACGGG